AGAGUUUGAUCCUGGCUCAGGAUGAACGCCGGCGGUGUGCCUAAUACAUGCAAGUCGUACGCACUGGCCCAACUGAUUGAUGGUGCUUGCACCUGAUUGACGAUGGAUCACCAGUGAGUGGCGGACGGGUGAGUAACACGUAGGUAACCUGCCCCGGAGCGGGGGAUAACAUUUGGAAACAGAUGCUAAUACCGCAUAACAACAAAAGCCACAUGGCUUUUGUUUGAAAGAUGGCCUUGGCUAUCACUCUGGGAUGGACCUGCGGUGCAUUAGCUAGUUGGUAAGGUAACGGCUUACCAAGGCGAUGAUGCAUAGCCGAGUUGAGAGACUGAUCGGCCACAAUGGAACUGAGACACGGUCCAUACUCCUACGGGAGGUAGCAGUAGGGAAUCUUCCACAAUGGGCGCAAGCCUGAUGGAGCAACACCGCGUGAGUGAAGAAGGGUUUCGGCUCGUAAAGCUCUGUUGUUGGAGAAGAACGUGCGUGAGAGUAACUGUUCACGCAGUGACGGUAUCCAACCAGAAAGUCACGGCUAACUACGUGCCAGCAGCCGCGGUAAUACGUAGGUGGCAAGCGUUGUCCGGAUUUAUUGGGGGUAAAGCGAGUGCAGGCGGUUCAAUAAGUCUGAUGUGAAAGCCUUCGGCUCAACCGGAGAAUUGCAUCAGAAACUGUUGAACUUGAGUGCAGAAGAGGACAGUGGAACUCCAUGUGUAGCGGUGGAAUGCGUAGAUAUAUGGAAGAACUCCCGUGGCGCCGGCGGCUGUCUGGUCUGCAACUGACGCUGAGGCUCGAAAGCAUGGGUAGCGAACAGGGAUUAGAUACCCCUGGGUAGUCCAUGCCGGUAAACGAUGAGUGCUAGGUGUUGGAGGGUUUCCGCCCUUCAGUGCCGGGAGCUAACGCAUUAAGCACUCCGCCUGGGGAGUACGACCGCAAGGUGGAAACUCAAGGGAAUUGACGGGGGGCCCGCACAAGCGGUGGAGCAUGUGGUUUAAUUCGAAGCUACGCGAAGAACCUUACCAGGUCUUGACAUCUUGCGCUAACCUUAGAGAUAAGGCGUUCCCUUCGGGGACGCAAUGACAGGUGGUGCAUGGUCGUCGUCAGCUCGUGUCGUGAGAUGUUGGGUUAAGUCCCGCAACGAGCGCAACCCUUGUUACUAGUUGCCAGCAUUAAGUUGGGCACUCUAGUGAGACUGCCGGUGACAAACCGGAGGAAGGUGGGGACGACGUCAGAUCAUCAUGCCCCUUAUGACCUGGGCUACACACGUGCUACAAUGGACGGUACAACGAGUCGCAAGCUCGCGAGAGUAAGCUAAUCUCUUAAAGCCGUUCUCAGUUCGGACUGUAGGCUGCAACUCGCCUACACGAAGUCGGAAUCGCUAGUAAUCGCGGAUCAGCAUGCCGCGGUGAAUACGUUCCCGGGCCUUGCACUCACCGCCCGUCA
rnacentral:rRNA from 1 species